GCAUUGUGGCCAGUAUACAUAUAAAUACAAGAAGUCCAUUAUCCAUACAUUUUCUGAUCCUCACAGACAUACAAACAUGAGAUUUUUUUGGUUUCUUCAGUGCCUCUUCUGUCUGGCCAUGCUUCUCAUCAACCCCUCUGUUUCUCCCAGAGCACCAGCUCCUCCUACAAGCCCAGACCCACUCCAUCCACUGCCACCCAAGGUCUCUGAUGGUUCACGGCCAUGAAGAAUUUCUUGAUAAGCUUAUAUAGUUAUAGUUAUAUAUAUAUAUAUAUAUAAAGUUUGGUUCUUCUACAUUUAUGUAAUAUCUCUUUCCUUCUAAACCUUUUCUGCUUGGGAUCACCAGAAAUAAGAAUAGUCCUACUCCAAUGUUUUUGACUA